rnacentral:tRNA from 1 species
UCGCCCGUUAUUCGGUAACUUUCCGAACGGUUCGCAGUAUCCGCCAAAUACGUGAUUAGCGGUUUCCUAAACCGCAGGUCGUAGGUUCGAUUCCUACCCGGGGCGACCCA